rnacentral:lncRNA from 1 species
CAAAUACAGAUCUGAGGCAAAAGUGAGAUAAUAAGCAUGACGGGCCCUGACUCCGUGCUUGUAUCAGCAUCUGUGUGAUAUCUUGUUGUUGGGCGACGCUGACGACUAAACUACUUCACUGACAUCAAAGCUGACCUUCCUUACUGCUAUUCUUUCACAACUACCCUUUUGAUCUAGCAUAAUUCUCGCUGCCUAGUAAACCAUUCCACAUCUCUCUG